rnacentral:misc_RNA from 1 species
GAUGAAGAACGCAGCGAAAUGCGAUAAGUAAUGCGAAUUGCAGAAUUCAGUGAGUCAUCGAAUCUUUGAACGCACAUUGCGCCCUGUGGUAUUCCGCAGGGCAUGCCUGUUCGAGCGUCAUUUCAACCCUCAAGCCCCGCUUGGUGUUGGGCCCCGCCCGCCGUGGCCGGCCCUAAAGACAGUGGCGGCGCCGCCUGGCCCUCAGCGUAGUACAGCUCUCGCUCCAGGGUCCGGCGGCCGCCUGCCAGAACCCCCCAACUCUGUGGUUGACCUCGGAUCAGGUAGGGAUACCCGCUGAACUUAAGCAUAUCAAUAAGCGGAGGA